GACCUCAGUUCAGGUGAGAUUACCGGCCUGAAUUUAAGCAUAUUACUAAGCCGAGGAAAAGAAACUAACAAGGAUUCCCCUAGUAGCGGCGAGCGAACAGGGAAGAGCCCAGCGCUGAAUCCCCCGGGCCUCGCUCGGCGGGAAAUGUAGCGUUUGGGAGGGCCCGUCAACACGGCGACUCGCUCACUGGUUCAAGUCCAACUUGAAUGGGGCCACACAGAGGGUGACAGGCCCGUAGAGCAGGAGCGGUUGUCGUGUGGGUCUCUCCUUAGAGUCGGUUUGCUUGAGAGUGCAGACUUAAGUGGGUGGUAAACUCCAUCUAAGGCUAAAUAUGACCACGAGACCGAUAGCACACAAGUACCGUGAGGGAAAGGUGAAAAGAACUUUGAAGAGAGAGUUCAAGAGUACGUGAAACUGAAGUGGUGUAAACGGACGAGUUCGAAAAGUCCGAAUGGUGAGAUUCAAGCUUACCGUGCCGGUGGCUCUUGGGUUCAGAUGGCGUCGUCAGCUCGGGCUUCGGUUCGUGUCAUAUGGCGUCACUCGUCCCGGGGGUAUCUGUCUGGUGCGGUGGGCUGCACUUCUCGCCUAGUAGGACGUCGCGACCCGUUGGGAUGUUCCGUUCAUUGGCCCUCGGUGGAGCCCGUGCCGGAGCGUGGCCUCGUGCCGCGUUGCUGUUUGCACGGACCCGGGGUGACCUGAUCGGCGCCCGACGGUAUCAAAGCUUGGGAAGAGGCCGCACAGAGGAUGCGUUCGAUGCCCGUUUCGGGCUACACUCGGACAGGCCUGCACCCGGUCAGCGGCGCUUCUGCUUUCGACACUCGUCCGACCCGUCUUGAACAC
rnacentral:rRNA from 2 species